UACAGAGGUCCCAAGCGUUGUUCGGAUUCACUGGGCGUAAAGGGUGCGUAGGCGGUUGGGUAAGUCUGAUGUGAAAUCUCACAGCUUAACUGUGAAACUGCAUUGGAUACUAUCCGGCUAGAGGAAUGGAGGGGAGACUGGAAUACUUGGUGUAGCAGUGAAAUGCGUAGAUAUCAAGUGGAACACCAGUGGCGAAGGCGAGUUUCUGGACAUUUCCUGACGCUGAGGCACGAAAGCCAGGGGAGCAAACGGG
rnacentral:rRNA from 1 species